UGUAUAUUUAUAAUUACAAACAUUUCGUUUGAUUCAAAUGGUUCUCCAGUCAAAUCGAGCUUAGCUGGGUGAUAGCCGACGUGUUUUUAACUACGAGAUCAUAUGUUUAAAAUGAAGGCACGAACCUUUGGUCAAUGCAUCUAAUAUCUUGUUUGACAUAUAUAGGGAAGAUGUUUGAUUAUUUCAACCCUAAAUAUUGUUGAACUAAAAAAUCGACGCAAAUCUAAUGUCUGGGUUGACAUACAGGUACGAUCAAAUUUUAGUUUAGAAAUAUGUAGGAACGAAGAAUCGAGUCAAACCGAGCUUAGCUCGAUAAUAAUUGACAUUUAUUCGAUUAAUAUAUAGGUUGACAUAUAAGUACGACACAAUUUAGGUUUUUUUAGUUUAUAAAUAUUUAGGAAUGAAAAUUAUAGUCAAAAUCGGGCUUAGUUUAGUGGCAAUUGAUAUAUAUUUACGCUAAAUCGAAGUCUAAAACUUUUUAACGUAAGAUAUUA